GGCAUCAUCACGAUCUCUAUGGUUUACCGCAACUUUUAGUGCUGUCACCUCAUCUGAGUAUAACCUUUGUGUCUCCUCCAAAGUAUUAUUGAGUAUAUCGUAGAAAUACUCCACGGGAACACCUCCAUAGGUCAGCAGAGCAAUAAGAGUUCUUGAUAGAUAAGUAUUCCUAGGUUUAAGACUGGGUGUAUUUAUUUCCAAUGAGUUAAACAUAUGAGCUCUUGACAAUCUUGGAUCUGCCUCGACCUUGAUCAUUGAGGGCCUAAUCUGAAUUGUGCGCUGUGGCAGCUUUCUAUUGACUAGAAGGGUUCCCUUUACAGCAAGACCAUUGUAGAAUAGACGGCACUGCAUCAACAGAGGCGGUUCCCCACUCUGAAAUUCUGCCUCUCCCAACUCAGAUGAAUUCUCCCCAAGUUUGACACCAUUGGCAUAUCUCUGUCAGAUACUUUAAAUGAAUACAAGCAUGCAAGAGACAAUUUCUAGUGCACUGUCUAGUGCCACUAAGUUGGCACACUUAUGCUUCACAUUGAAAAAAUCUUGCGGACACUUUCUUGCCAAGUCUUCUGAAAUAUAUCCAGUCCCAUCUGUGUGUAUAAGUGGUUUCCCAUCUUCAUCAUAGAUAAUUCGUCCACUCUUAUCAUGACAAUAUAUAUCUUCAAUUCUGUCAAUAUUCACUGAAUUCAGAUCAACUUGAAGCUUUAC
rnacentral:misc_RNA from 1 species